rnacentral:rRNA from 1 species
CCUACGGGUGGCUGCAGUGAGGAAUAUUGGUCAAUGGGCGCGAGCCUGAACCAGCCAAGUAGCGUGAAGGAUGACUGCCCUACGGGUUGUAAACUUCUUUUAUAAAGGAAUAAAGUGAGGCACGUGUGCUGUUUUGUAUGUACUUUAUGAAUAAGGAUCGGCUAACUCCGUGCCAGCAGCCGCGGUAAUACGGAGGAUCCGAGCGUUAUCCGGAUUUAUUGGGUUUAAAGGGAGCGUAGGUGGAUUGUUAAGUCAGUUGUGAAAGUUUGCGGCUCAACCGUAAAAUUGCAGUUGAUACUGGCAGUCUUGAGUACAGUAGAGGUGGGCGGAAUUCGUGGUGUAGCGGUGAAAUGCUUAGAUAUCACGAAGAACUCCGAUUGCGAAGGCAGCCUACUGGACUGCAACUGACACUGAGGCUCGAAAGUGUGGGUAUCAAACAGGAUUAGAUACCCCAGUAGUC